ensembl:lncRNA
UCCAGUCACAUGUCUGAAGGUGGGUCUAAAAUGCAGGUUGUUGACGGAAAUGGCUCUGAUGCGGCUAGUUAGCUGUGGUAACUGCUGAUAAUCACAUGGCUACCGGCUACCGGCGAAAAUAACGGAGGAAAUCGGGACGAGGCCGAGAACGUGACCGAGGUCAGAGGAGAGCUGGGGACCAAUGUCACUCUAACCUGCUCCAAUCAGACAUCAGGCACACACUGGUACAUGGAGAUCUACAGCCAGUUCAGAGCAUGUGUCAGCUGCCAGAUUUCUUCAACACAUUUUACCUACAACUCUCCUGAUUUUGAAACCAAAUUUUCACUCCUGGGAAACAAACUCAUGAUUAAAAACUUCAGUGCAGGAGACUGCAGGCUUUACUUCUGUGGCAUCAACAGAAAUGACAGCAUUCAUUUUGUGGAGACUUUCCGUCUCGUCUCAGUUUUUCUUUCUCCAGAUAUCUUUCCAACCUCUGAGUCAGACCCUCAGCAGCAGAGCAGCUCCAUAUCACAGCAUCACCUCCUCAUCAUAUACCGCUCAGCCUUCCUCAUUACUGCCAUCACCCUUGUCAUACUGGUUGUGGUUUUUACGUCUCUGUGGGUGAAGAGAAAAUCUCUCCAGGUGCGCAGCCCUCGACCUGUGACCAGUUGGAUUGCAGAGACUGUGCAGAGUGCCCAGGCUGAAUUCAAGGAAGUCUGAAGCAGUUCAGUGAUCAGCAUUAACAGCAGAGUACCAUUCGUAAUGUGAAAUUCAGUUCCAGAAAAACUGAGUCUGAAAGCUCCGUGUCAGAUUCCUGCUGCAGACGUCAGGCUGGAGAGGCCGAGAACGUGACCGAGGUCAGAGGAGAGCUGGGGACCAAUGUCACUCUAACCUGCUCCAAUCAGACAUCAGACAGAUACUGGUACAUGGAGAUCCACAGUCAGUUCAGAGCAGAUAUCCCUACAACCCCUGACCCUGAUAGUGAAGUGUUGCAGAGGAACACUAUCCUCGUCAGCUCAUUGAGCCUGAACGUUGUGCUCAUUUUAGUAAUCUGUCUGAGUUGUGUAUGGCUGUCUCUGAAGAGGGGAAUCAGCAAGAAUCAGGCAAACCUCCCUCCAGCUGGGACCAGUGAGGGGCUGGAGACUCCACAGUACGAGGAGAUCCAGUUCCCCCCUCCAUCUGCUGCUCCGCUUCAAGAGUGCAUUUACUACAGAAUUCAGCGUCCUCGCUCCACACUACCUCAAAGCUGAUGGACACACCUGUACAGGUGGAUGAUACCUGCUGGAUUCAGAUUUUGGGGACAGAGGUCAGUCUGAUAACUGAAGACUUGCUGCUCCUCUGCUCGUGGGAGGAUUUCUUUUUCCUCCUGUCUGGUUUGAGUUGUUGGACCAAAAGAAUGUUAAGUUCUGAAUGAAGAUUUUCCACAAACUUGACAAAACUGCUGUAAGAUUAGUUUUAGUCAGGCACAAUCUGCUCUGCCUCUGAGCUGAGAUGGACCCAAGAAUGUGACAACCCUUUAGCCAAACCUGCUUUAAGGUGCCUCAGGAUUUAAAACCAUAACUCAAUGCUGCUGUGAAAACCUGUAAAUCUGAGACUCAACAUUUAAUAUUUAUUUAUUCUCCUGUUGUUUGUAUCUGUUUAUCAGUUUUUAUUGCUGUUUGUCAGAUGUUCGGUUGUUUAUGCUGUUUUGAAAGCACUGAUUUUAAACACGGUCACAUUUCCUAAAAAGGCAGCACGAUGAUUAAGUAUGACAACAGAAUGCUGUGUUUUACAAUUAAAUGUCAAAUAGAACUGAAACUAGGACAAAGACAAAAUAUCACAUGAUUGUGAGAAAUGUGAUUUUUGAAAGACUUCCUUUUUAAAAAAAAAAAUGUUGCAGCAUCAAAUUUUAUAAAUGUUGUGAGAGUUGCAACAAAAGUCUGGAAAAGUUGUCAAAUUUACUGAGCCAUCCAUUUCCCUCUACUUGUUGAUUUUAGGGCCGCUGGAGUCUAUACCAGCUGUCAUAGGGCUAAGGGAGGGGUACACAUGGACAGAUCACCAGUCUGUCACUAUAACAUGUGAAAAAAUUAAAUGUGUUUUUUUUUUAAAAGCAUCCCUGGUAAACAGGGAAAGGUUUCCAGAAAGACUUUGUUCACAAAUAACUCAUUCAUCCACAUUAAUAACCUCAGUUUGAACAUUUGAUCUGUUCUCUGUGAGCUGUUUAUUUUAAAAUCUAGGAUAUAAGGUCUUUGCAAAUUAUUGCAUAAUAGGUUUGUGUGAGUCUUAGACUAUGUAAAAGAACUUUCAACAUAUCUGUGUGUGAAACUACACUGUGAACAUUUUCAGUUUGAUUACAGCAUUUAUUUUUGGUUUAGGCAUUCAUGUAGUUAUUAAAUAGAACUUGAAUUCACACCAGUGAUUUGUUUGUUUGAAAGAGAAAAUGCGGUUUGAAGUAUUUCUUUGUAAUGUUUAAUAUGAAUCCAUUAAACAUUUGACAACA